AUGCCAGCUCAGCAGAUUCCUGACCAAAGGUGAAAAGUACACUGUGAGGAAGACUCGGGGUCUUCCUCCCAAAGACCCCUGCCCACGUCCCAAAGACCCCUGCCCACAAUUCUUGGGAGGCUCUACGAAGGCCCAAGGUGCCGAAAAGCCAACUAGCAUGAGAAGCGAGGGAAGGCGGGGAUAGGUGGAGAGAUCCCCCGUGAAUCCAGCGCUGCAAUACAGAAAAUACCACUUAAAGGAAUUUCGGCUUCGAUCUUUGAAUCAACAUCACAUCUAAGUGUUAAAGACAAAGCCGGAGUCCUACACUUAGCCGGGUCCCAUCGUCAGGAUGUCUCCGGCGCGUAUGUCAAACAUCGCUAUCGUCUGGUCUGCGAGCUGUCAAUUCUUGUUACAUCCUCAAAGUGCAAGCUAAGUAAAUGUUUUAGUGCAUUUUUAUAAGCUUUUACCGUAGAGGCACUUUUAUUAAGUCAAUGAGGACGGUGGUAUGUCUAAACGCCUCCUGAAGUGACAGCCAGGAGGCUUUCUUUUUAGUACUGCUAGUUGGUGUGUUGAAAUGUGACUUUCCAGAAAUCAUAACUGCAUGCACAUGGAGAAAUGCUGAAUCGGUUAGUAUGUACAUACUUUUUUUUUUCUUUCUUUUAUUUUUUAAGCUUUGCUACAGUUCCAGAAAAGAGUAUGCAACACAUGUUGUGGUAUAAUAAAAUAGUUUGCUACGA